rnacentral:rRNA from 1 species
GACGAACGCUGGCGGCGUGCUUAACACAUGCAAGUCGAACGGAAAGGCCCUGCUUUUGUGGGGUGCUCGAGUGGCGAACGGGUGAGUAACACGUGAGUAACCUGCCCUUGACUUUGGGAUAACUUCAGGAAACUGGGGCAAUUACCGGAUAGGAGCUCUUCUGGCAUGGUGGGGGUUGGAAGGUUUCGGCGGUUGGGGAUGGACUCGCGGCUUAUCAGCUUGUUGGUGGGGUAGUGGCUUACCAAGGCUUUGACGGGUAGCCGGCCUGAGAGGGUGACCGGCCACAUUGGGACUGAGAUACGGCCCAGACUCCUACGGGAGGCAGCAGUGGGGAAUAUUGCACAAUGGGCGGAAGCCUGAUGCAGCAACGCCGCGUGCGGGAUGACGGCCUUCGGGUUGUAAACCGCUUUCGCCUGUGACGAAGCGUGAGUGACGGUAAUGGGUAAAGAAGCACCGGCUAACUACGUG